CUGUAGGCGGUCCCAAGGGGUGGGCUGGGCGCCCAUUAAAGCGGCACGCGAGCUGGGUUCAGACCGGCGUGAGACAGUUCGGUCCCUAUCCGGCGCGGGCGUUGGAAAUUUGAGAGGAGCUGUCCUUAGUACGCGAGGACCGGGAUGGACUUACCGCUGGUGUACCAGUUGUUCUGCCAAGUGCAUUGCUGGGUAGCUAUGUAGGGAAGGGAUAAACGCUGAAAGCAUCUAAGUGUGAAGCCCACCUCAAGAU
rnacentral:rRNA from 1 species